AAAAAGCAACUGCAGCAUUUUGAGGGACUGACUUGCCGGCUCGAAGUCUUCAGAGCUCCUCGAACAGCGUGUUCGCUGCGUGUGCGUGUGUGUGUCUCCGCACCAGCAAGCGAAAUUCUACUGCCAUUCUCCAAGACUCCUGGACAGAGACAAGGGUGACCAAAAGGUCCAGCUGGCCUAAAUCCAAUGUUUCUGAACUGUGAACCAAUUUGGCAAAUCCUCCAUUCAUUCUAUCAUGACUCAGCAUUGCAAACCUCACAUAGCCAGUAAAGAUUUGUCAUCUCUCAAAAGGAAAGAAAAGAAAGAAAAACAGCAUCCUGACGGAAGUUUAUUUGUUAUUCUUGUCAAAAUUAUCAGUGUUCUAUAUGAAAAUUCUGGCCAAGUCACUUUUGCACCAGACAAGAAAUGGCCUAGCAAGUCAUUUUCAGUACUUCUUUCCUUCUCCAUCACUGUCCUUGGGGGAAAAGGAGGCACAUUAGCGCCCAAUACCUGCACCAGGAGCCAAGUCUUACAGGUAAGAUGACUCCCAUGGCAGGUGGAGAAGCCCAGGAGCCAGCUGGGUAUGGGUGCAUCUAAAUGUACUGUCCCUGGGAUGGUCAGAUAUUUGGAUAGUUUGGGAACAUCCUAUAACAUUUGUGUGGAUACUCCCUAAGUUAUGUUUCUUC
rnacentral:lncRNA from 1 species